CCUUGUACACACCGCCCGUCACACCCUGGGAGUGGGUUGCACCAGAAGUAGCUAGUCUAACCUUCGGGAGGACGGUUACCACGGUGUGAUUCAUGACUGGGGUG
rnacentral:rRNA from 1 species